AAUAAAAGAAGAAUAAAUUGGAAAUAAUUUGAGCUUGAAUUGAUAGGUGAAACUUGUGUAUCUGUCUCUUAUUAGCCCUAAUUUUUAACAAUAAGUUAGGUACUUUGAGUUCUAUGGUAGCACAUGCCUGGCAGUCUUAGCCUUUUGGCAGAUCAAUUGUAGCUGUCUCAAAUCAGGGUUGAAGGUGGAGGACGUGAACAUGAUGAUUUUUCUGUACUAUUUGAAGUUGGAAAACUUUGAGGAGAGGCUUAGAUUUUUAUAACCUGCUCUGUCCUAAAGCACUUAAAUUUGUUUCUCAGUUCCAGAAGGAGAUCUUAUUUCCUGGGGUAUAAUCUAGACAAGAAUGUGGAUGCUGUUGUGUGUCCUUUUGAAGUUGCAUUGGUUUAAAAAGGUGGAUGCUUCUCCUGGUCACACAUGAAAAGAAACAAUCCUUUAAGAAUAGACAGAAUUCAGGACAGAAUCUGAAGCUGCAAACUGAAAUCACGUAUCAGUAUCUCUUAUAAGGUGGUUAAAGCUGUGCCCCAGUGUGGGGCAGAGAGGUCAUUUUACAUAGUCCUCCUUUUGGUUAUUAGCCUGAAAAAAUCCCAUAUGCAAGUUCUUGAAUGUUGUGAAUACCUUUCUUAGGCAGCUAGCUUGGGUUUGUAAAUUCUGCUCCUGGCGUUUCUAAAAGUAAGUUUUAUACUUACCAGUGUUUAUGUGGAUUUAGCCCUAAAUCCUAAAGCCCUGGCAAACAGUUGAUUUUUCAAAUAACUUGUAUUUUUUUGCAAUCUAAUAGCUUUCACUUAGCUGCCAUUUUCUAAGUAUGCAGUAGCUGUCAGUGACUCUGCUAAACUUUUUGUAGAACAGACGCCUUUGUAUGCUGUGGUGAUGAUCUGAGUUCCUGAUCCUCAAAGACUCGAGCGAUGCGUAUUUGUUGUGUGUGGAUCUGCUCAGUGUGCAUGGAGCUUAUGUGGGACCAAAGCCCAAACAGAGAAGCUGCAGAAUGUAAUAAGAAAAGCAGAUGCGAACAGACUGAUCUGUGAUAAGCACUGCAUCUUAAUGUUAAAAUCAUAAAUCACUUCAUCUUCCUUGCACGAUAAUACUAACUCUGCAAGUUUGUCCUUCUUCCAAAGCGUGGAAAAGGUCCUACUCCUACAACUGAGGAUGUGAAGUUGAGUAUGACAAAGUAAAAAUCCAAGGUAUGGAUUUAUGGAUUUUAGUUUCUGCAGUUAGGAAAUUGACCUCUUGGUUUCUUGAUUGCAGCAGCAGUGAAUUUGAUGGACACUAAAUAUCUGCUGGAUGUCAUUAGGUUUUUCUUCAUCAUGGCUUUGUCUGAAAAAGUUUAUUCUGCUCAUGAGUCUCUCUUCUUGGCAAGGUUUUUUUCUGUUUCACACUUCAGGUCAGACUUUUAACUGAGGUGGCGAGUAGUGUGAGAGUACAUUCAUAGAUAAGCAAUACCAUUAAUACAAGAUGUUUAUUUCUCAUUUCUCUACAAAAGAUCUUUGGGUUUUGCAGAUUCGGUGCUGCACAUGUUACUGCUAUUUACCGUACGGAUGGUUUGACUCAAUUAUAAGUAAUGAAACUUUAUUAUCACUUGUGAAGCCCUUUAUAGGUAAAAGUUAAAACAUGAUGACAGCAAUGGCUUGUUGCAUCUCUGCUACAGUUCUGUUUAAUUUCUGUAUCUGAUUCACAUUGCUUCUUCCAUAGAGAAUCAUAAAGCAUCUAGAAGAGAUGUAGCAAGGCAGUUUUCCUCAUUCUCUAGGGUCUCCAACAAGUGAGCUUGUGUAUGUUUGCUUACCUGGCAUUUGUGGUUAUCUGGCAAGGGCCUAUAAGAUCUCUUUCUAUUCACUGCAGUAAUACUGUAUAAAACUGCAGAUGACAAAUUCUUGUUGACCUCAAUUAUUUCUUGUAAAUUCUUGACCUCUGAAUUUCACCAAGCUAAGGGUGCACGCUUAACCUACGCUAUUUCUUUUUUUUCCCUUUUUUUUUUUUUUUUUCAAAUAUGGUCAGUAUCAGUAUAUCUGUAUUUUAAGGAUCAAGUUUUUUUACAUUGUUGGAGUAGGAGGUAACUGAGAAUUUAUAGGACCUAAGUGUUUUAAAAUACAUUUCAGGCUCAGAAGACGAAACAGAAAAACUCGAAGAUACGGCGUUUUGGAUACAAACAUAGAAAACAUGGAGUUGACUCCAUUAGAACAAGAUGAUGAAGAUGAUGAUACAACGCUAUUUGAUGCCAAUCAUCCUCGAAGAUAAGUACGUGCCUUUCAGUGAAAGAACUUAAUCAUGAAACCAGAGAAAGAGACUGCUUCAUAGGAGGAGUAAGAAGCCAAAACAGCAAGAUGGUAUGGAAGUUGGGGGAAUAAUUUAAAUUGUGUAUAUUAUGGCAUCCUUAAUUUGUUGCAAUAAAUACUGUACCAAUUUGUUGUACCUUUUUGUAUAUAUAUAUAGAAUUCUAAAUGUAAAGCCUAAGGAGCAAGUGUGCACUAAAAUCGAAACCUAUUUGGAAGUGAGAUUACUUCUAGAACAGGGUAUUUUUUGCUUGUUCUAAAUCUUGUAUGCCAUAAGUGUGGUAUACACUUUUUCUACAGUAACCUGGAAUGUUAACUAACUUUUUGCUCAUGUAAAAUUGUAAGUAAACAUUAAGUAGCAUAGCCUCUGUGAACUCUUCGGUAUUGUUGGAACUUGAUUUUAGUCGAAAAGAUGCUUUACCCUUUGCAAACAAAAAGCCAGACUACUGCCUUUUUUGUUAAGCCUUUUUUUAAACUAAAUUAACAUGUUGUAUGUAAACUAAGUGUAUAAAUAAAAGUGUUUACAAUGUUCCUA